rnacentral:rRNA from 1 species
UACGUAGGGAGCAAGCGUUGUCCGGAAUCAUUGGGCGUAAAGCGCGCGUAGGUGGCUUCGUAAGUCCGUUGUGAAAGUCAAAGGCUCAACCUUUGAAUGCCGAUGGAUACUGCGGAGCUAGAGUACGGAAGAGGCGAGUGGAAUUCCUGGUGUAGCGGUGGAAUGCGCAGAUAUCAGGAGGAACACCAAUAGCGAAGGCAGCUCGCUGGGACGGUACUGACGCUAAGGCGCGAAAGCGUGGGGAGCGAACAGG